AAAGCUGCGCCAUGAGCGCAUGAUACGCCCGUCGUUCGCCAAUGAAGUAGUAAGGUAAUAAAUAACCCUUUGAAUCAUUUUUUUACUUCAGUUUAUUUGUAUUUGAAUACAUGGUUUAUUUUAUAAGUACAUGAGCAUGGAAAUCACGAAAUUUUGACGAACAAAGUCCCAUAACUCUGGAACGACAAUUCAGAAUUCCGUCAAAAACGAAAGGGGAUCAGGGUUUAUCAAUAUUAAGAUUGUGUUGAAAUUUGAAAAAAAUCCAUCGAAGGAUAUUUGAGCUACAGUAGGACAUUCAAUGAAAUCACGAAAUUUUGACGAACAAAGUCCCAUAACUCUGGAACGACAAUUCAGAAUUCUGUCAAAAACGAAAGGGGAUCAGGGUUUAUCAAUAUUAAGAUUGUGUUAAAAUUUGAAGAAAAUCUGUCAAAGGAUAUUUGACGUAGCGUACGACAUUAACAGACGGACGGACGGACGGACGGACGGACAGACGGACGCGGGGUAUACCAUAAUACGUCCCGUCAUAGACGGGCGUAUAAAAAAUCCAUCGGGGGAUAUUUGAGCUACGGUAGGAUACAUGAACAACAAUAACAUUUAAGGUCACAGUGACCUUGACCUUAGAAUGAAUGACCUUGAAAUGACCAGUGGUCAUCUAAGUGUGCUUGCAAACCUUCAUGUCAAGUUUGAAGACUCUAUGUCCAAGCAUACCAAAGUUAUAACAAUUUUAACAUUUUAACAUUUAAGGUCACAGUGACCUUGACCUUCAAAUGAAUGACAUUGAAAUGACCAGUGGUCAUCUUCUAGUACUGGCCAAUCUUUAUUUCAAGUUUGAAGACUCUAGGUACAAGCAUACCAAAGUUAUAACAUGAAAUAAGAACUUUAACAUUUUUACAUUCAAGGUCACAGUGACCUUGACCUUCAAAUGAAUGACCUUGAAAUGUCCAGUGGUUACUUACUAGUUCUGGCCAACCUUCAUGUCAAGUUUCAAGACUCUAGGUCCAAGCAUACCAAAGUUAUAACAACUUUAACAUUUUUAUAUAGCUACAGUAGGACAUUCAAUGAAAUCACGAAAUUUUGACGAACAAAGUCCCAUAACUCUGGAACGACAAUUCAGAAUUCCGUCAAAAACGAAAGGGGAUCAGGGUUUAUCAAUAUUAAGAUUGUGUUGAAAUUUGAAAAAAAUCCAUCGAAGGAUAUUUGAGCUACAGUAGGACAUUCAAUGAAAUCACGAAAUUUUGACGAACAAAGUCCCAUAACUCUGGAACGACAAUUCAGAAUUCCGUCAAAAACGAAAGGGGAUCAGGGUUUAUCAAUAUUAAGAUUGUGUUAAAAUUUGAAGAAAAUCUGUCAAAGGAUAUUUGACGUAGCGUACGACAUUAACAGACGGACGGACGGACGGACGGACAGACGGACGCGGGGUAUACCAUAAUACGUCCCGUCAUAGA